GACGAACGCUGGCGGCGUGCUUAACACAUGCAAGUCGAACGAAGUGGCGAACGGGUGAGUAACGCGUAAUCAACCUGCCCUUCUGAGGGGGACACCAGUUGGAAACGACUGCUAAUACCGCAUACUGAAGGUGGGGAUUGCGUCUGAGUAGCUAGUUGGAGGGGUAACGGCCCACCAUGGCGAUGAUCAGUAGCAGGUCUGGGAGGAAGGACGGCCGGAUUGGGACUGGGACACGGCACAGACGCCUACGGGAGGGAGCAGUGGGGAAUCUUCCGCAAUGGACGAAAGUCUGACGAAGCAACGCCGCGUGGGUUAUGACGGCCUUCGGGUUGUAAGGCUCUGUUAAUCGGGGCGCGGUACCGGAAUAGGAAGCCACGGCUAACUACGUGCCAGCAGCCGCGGUAAUUC
rnacentral:rRNA from 1 species